rnacentral:tRNA from 1 species
UGGAAAAUAGCCAAGUGGCAAGGCAGCAGAUUUUGGUUCUGCCAUUCGUAGGUUCGAAUCCUUCUUUUCCAG